rnacentral:rRNA from 1 species
CCUACGGGUGGCUGCAGUGGGGAAUUUUGGACAAUGGGGGCAACCCUGAUCCAGCCAUUCCGCGUGAGUGAAGAAGGCCUUCGGGUUGUAAAGCUCUUUCGGCAGGAACGAAACGGUGAGCUCUAACAUAGCUCGCUAAUGACGGUACCUGAAGAAGAAGCACCGGCUAACUACGUGCCAGCAGCCGCGGUAAUACGUAGGGUGCGAGCGUUAAUCGGAAUUACUGGGCGUAAAGCGUGCGCAGGCGGUUGUGUAAGACAGGUGUGAAAUCCCCGGGCUUAACCUGGGAACUGCGCUUGUGACUGCACGGCUAGAGUAUGGCAGAGGGGGGUGGAAUUCCACGUGUAGCAGUGAAAUGCGUAGAGAUGUGGAGGAACACCGAUGGCGAAGGCAGCCCCCUGGGCCAAUACUGACGCUCAUGCACGAAAGCGUGGGGAGCAAACAGGAUUAGAUACCCCUGUAGUC